UUCCUGGUGGCUCAGACAGUAAAGUGUCUGCCUGCAAUGCGGGCAAUCCAGGUUCGAUCCCUGGCUCGGGAA
rnacentral:tRNA from 1 species